GAUGAACGCUGGCGGCGUGCCUAAUACAUGCAAGUCGAGCGAACAGACGAGGAGCUUGCUCCUCUGACGUUAGCGGCGGACGGGUGAGUAACACGUGGAUAACCUACCUAUAAGACUGGGAUAACUUCGGGAAACCGGAGCUAAUACCGGAUAAUAUAUUUAACCGCAUGGUUCAAUAGUGAAAGACGGUUUUGCUUUCACUUAUCGAUUGAUCCGCGCCGCAUUAGCUUGUUGGGUAGGUAACGGCUUACCAAGGCGACGAUGCCUAGCCGACCUGAGAGGGUGAUCGGCAACACUGGAACUGAGAAACGGUCAAGAAUCCAAGGGGAGGCAGCAGGAGGGAAUCUUCCGCAAUGGGCGAAAGCUUAACGGAGCAACGCCGCGGGAGUGAUGAAGGUCUUCGGAUCGUAAAACUCUGUUAUUGGGAAGAACAAAUGUGAAAGUAACUAUGCACGUCUUGACGGUACCUAAUCAGAAAGCCACGGCUAACUACGUG
rnacentral:rRNA from 1 species